UAUCUCUCUGUGAAACAUUCCAAGAGUUGCGCAACAGCUGAGUUAAGAAUUCUCUGGUCUCCUUCUCCUUUCUCCGGUCUUCUUGAUGUUCACGGUGAAAUUGCUCCUGUUUCCUUCAUCCUCACGUGAAAGUGACAAGAAGUCUCCAAGCUUUUCACUGUCUAGUCACUGCCUGGAGAAAGGUA